GCCGGGAUAGCUCAGCUGGGAGAGCAACAGACUGAAGAUGUGUCUGGAUUCUGGAGGUCCCGUGUUCAAUCCACGGUCCUGGCA
rnacentral:tRNA from 1 species